GGCAGGAUGUCUGUGCUGCUUUAAUUGUUCAGAGUUUCACUUUCUGCCAUGGGACUUGCAAAUGUGCAAGCCUCUGUCUCAUAAUGCUGCAAUAUAAACCUCCAUUUAAACUUGAUGGGUCCCUUCUCAUUGGAGUUUUAUUUUGCAGGCACUUUUGUGAUGUGCUUUUUUAUGAGCAGUGUGAAUAAAUACAAUAGAGACAUUACCUAUGCAAAUAGGCAGAAUUGAAAUGUCUAGGUUUAGGAAAAAACAACAAAAUUCCACUCUAAAUAUACAUGUACGUAUAGAAUAAAAACCCAAUAGCUUCACUUUUCUUAUUUUAAGAAUGAUUUUCUUCUAAUCUUGUUGCCAGUCAGUAUUUCUCUGAGGAAUGCACUAACUAUGCAUGAUCUGAUUGGCAAAAUGUGAAAGUGAGCUAAAUUUCAGUCUUAGUACUGUUUUGAUUCUUCUCCAGUUUGUACAGCCAUGCCCCAUGACUACAUCAUAAACGGUCGUAACUUUUGGGAGGAGUGGCUGCUUCCGGAGCUACUAACUCCCAGUUCACAUGAAGAUAUGCAAUGGGCAACCUUUGGACAAGCUGUUCAGCUGUGAUUGAUAGCGUGCAAACAAUGUACCAUUGUACGAGUGCCAUAUUGAGCUACCAUACUAUCACAAGACUUCUAAGGUAAGCACAAGGGAGCCAAGAGCUCUGUCAACAGUCCACUGAGUGAGCUCUGCCACUUACCUGCAGCACCAGCCUGGGCUGCUCGCUUCAGCUUUCUGCUCUCGUCUGUAAAACAGUUAAUGACACAGCUCAGAAAACUUUGAGGAGCUGAGGCUUUAAAUAAAGCAUCAAGUACCUCAAAGUUCACGGUAAAAUUGUAAGCACUGGCAACUCUGCCUAUAAUAAGCAAGCAAAAUUCUCCUCAGAAGCUGGUAGAAGAGGAUGAGGAAUAAAGCGCUGUUCAAGAUGGGAGAAGGUUUUGUAACAUUACUGUUUUAGAAAGGUUGCAUUCUUACAUUAGGUCUGUGCUGCAAUCUCAGCUCUCAGGUGCCAAGGCAUGGCUUUUCAUGGGGCUCUCUGAGACUAAACUGCUCACAACCAAUUUCAGUCCACUCUCACUUUUUCAGAUUGUAUUUCUCUCUUUCCUUUGCAUCUGAUUUUUUUUUCCCUUUGCUGUCAGACUUUUUCAGUGAGUUUCCUUUUAAGAAGCUCA